AUACGGAGGGUGCGAGCGUUAAUCGGAAUUACUGGGCGUAAAGCGUUCGUAGGCGGUUUGUUAAGCAAGAUGUGAAAGCCCUGGGCUCAACCUGGGAACUGCAUUUUGAACUGGCAAACUAGAAUACUGUAGAGGGUGGUGGAAUUUCCAGUGUAGCGGUGAAAUGCGUAGAGAUUGGAAGGAACAUCAGUGGCGAAGGCGGCCACCUGGACAGAUAUUGACGCUGAGGAACGAAAGCGUGGGGAGCGAACAGGAUUAGAUACCCCAGUAGUCC
rnacentral:rRNA from 1 species